ensembl:misc_RNA
UCGAAAUAACAUGAAAUGGAGGAGAAAUUACAGCAAUUUAUCAACCGAAAUUAUAGGUGUAGACACAUGUCAGCGUGGAAACAGUUUCUAUCAAAAUGAAAGUAUUUAGAGAUUUUCCUCAAAUUUCAAAU